CAAGAAAACGCCUCUGGCAGUGGAGGGUAAAGGCGCAGCCCUGCAAUGUCCUCACCGCCACCGCUGGGAAAGGGCAUCUCGCACGCCCAGCGGGGUGGGGGGGGCGUGUACCCCAAGUGAAGGACCACUGCUCUGGAGGGAGCUGAGAGGGUGCUUGGCCGACUCUUCCACGUGGUCCAAGUGAUCUUGGCGAGGUUGCAGUACCUACAAUGUUACCCCCACCACCACCACACAGAAUCCUGCCGCCGAUCAUAGUAGACUCACUAUGGUGUAACCGCAUUUAAUAUUGCUGGGUGGACAUAGGCGGGCGUGGUGGGUGAGUGGGUAGGGGGAGGAUUUGUGAGCAACGUUGCCCGCCCCCCCCGUUGUGUCAGCUGCCACGCUGGGAGAUCGAACCCGCAGAGUCUGGCUCGCAACGUCCUGUGUCUCAAAUGCAUCAAAAGGCUAAAAGCAUGACUACAUUUUUGUUCCACCGCGCGCAGCGUGCACAUUAGGGAAGACAAUAGUGUGUACAGAGAAACACGAUCCAUUCAUUGUGCGUGUUGUUGACUUCGGGGGGAGCGGUAGUGUAGCGGUCAGCGCACCGCGCUACGAGCCCAGCGAGCCGAGUUCCAUUCACGCUCACGACCAACAACAGUGGCGAAUGUUUGCACCGCUUUGGGGGUCUCCCCUAGGUCGACUCGGCUUUAAAUGAGUACCUGGUGCGGUGUGUAAACACCCGCAAUGGGGAGACAAAGGCUGCCGGGCGUGGUGUUGGCCAGCCACCCCCUCGUGCGCCGUGCCUGGCCUUCAGAGGUUGUUGCUCGAAGCACUUGUCUGCCGAGGCUAUGCAGGGGACCUCUGUCCGUGAUAUUGACUGUAAACAUACCCUCCCUAUAGGGGCGAAACCAAACAUAGAACGAAAAUCAGUGCUUACGGGUUCCCCCGCACUGCUGAGGCUCCCACUCACAACUCCUGGAGAUUCACCAAACUCGCAACGAGAAAGCAAUCGGAUGUGGCACGGGCUGCUGCUGCUGCUGCUGUCGGCGUCACGACAAAAAAAAAAUCCACACCCGCGCCGCAUCGACGGCCUUACAUGGGCAGCACAGUUGAAGGUCACGGGGCCUGAAGCCGCAGCCUUGUUAUUAUUAUUGUUAUUAUUGUCACUACAUUCUUUGCCCGUCCUAGGACGGAAGCUGUCAUAUUUACGAAAAUAAUUGAGCGGAGUAUAAUUGUUGUGCCUUGUGUAAAUUGAACGGCAGUGAAUCUUGCACCAAAGUAUGUCAUCAAACACGUCACUGCAGCACCGCAUUAAUGGCAGUGAAUCUGGCACAAAACUAUGUCAUAAAACACCCCACUUCAUGUCACUGUAGCACUGUAUAUAACUGACCUUCAGUUUGUUCAAAUUCACUGCUCUGAAACUGUAUUCUCUUGUUUUCGGUCGCUGGGGUUGAAAUUAAUUGGAAAUCGAUAUAAUAUCUGGGAAAUCAUUGAGAAAUGUCUAUUUUACCAUAAUGUAGAAGCAUAAAUUAGUCUCAAGUGCUGAAGAAAUAAAUAAAGACACCAUAUCCA